rnacentral:rRNA from 1 species
UACAGAGGUCUCAAGCGUUGUUCGGAUUCAUUGGGCGUAAAGGGUGCGUAGGUGGCGCUGUAAGUCGGGUGUGAAAUUUCGGAGCUUAACUCCGAAACUGCAUUCGAUACUGCGGUGCUUGAGGACUGGAGAGGAGACUGGAAUUCAUGGUGUAGCAGUGAAAUGCGUAGAGAUCAUGAGGAAGACCAGUGGCGAAGGCGGCUCUCUGGGACGGUACUGACGCUGAGGCUCGAAAGUGCGGGGAUCAAACAGG